CUCAAUCUCUUUGUUCUUCUUCUUCUUCUUCUUCUUUUUCUGCUUUUCAAUUUCAUCACUCCCUACAUCAAUUGCACCAUCAACAACAGCAAUAGCCUCAAUAGCAUCCUCAUUUUCAUUGCUCUUCUUCUUCUUCUUUUUCUUCUUUUCAAUUUCAUCAUUCCCUACAUCAAUUGCACCAUCAACAACAGCAAUAGACUCAAUAGCAUCCUCAUUUUCGUUGCUCUUUUUCUUCUUUUCAAUUUCAUCACUCCCUACAUCAAUUGCACCAUCAACAACAGCAACAGCCUCAAUAGCAUCCUCAUUUUCAUUGCUCUUCUUCUUCUUCUUCUUCUUCUUCUUCUUUUUCUUAUUUUCAAUUUCAUCACUCCCUGCAUCAAUUGCACCAUCAACAACAGCAAUAGCCUCCUCAUUCUCUUUGUUCUUCUUCUUCUUCUUCUUCUUCUUCUUCUUUUUCUUCUUUUCAAUUUCAUCACUCCCUACAUCAAUUGCACCAUCAACAACAGCAAUAGCCUCAAUAGCAUCCUCAUUUUCAUUGCUCUUCUUCUUCUUCUUUUUCUUCUUUUCAAUUUCAUCACUCCCUACAUCAAUUGCACCAUCAACAACAGCAAUAGACUCAAUAGCAUCCUCAUUUUCGUUGCUCUUUUUCUUCUUUUCAAUUUCAUCACUCCCCACAUCAAUUGCACCAUCAACAACAGCAAUAGCCUCAAUAGCAUCCUCAUUUUCAUUGCUCUUCUUCUUCUUCUUUUUCUUCUUUUCAAUUUCAUCACUCCCUACAUCAAUUGCACCAUCAACAACAGCAAUAGACUCAAUAGCAUCCUCAUUUUCGUUGCUCUUUUUCUUCUUUUCAAUUUCAUCACUCCCCACAUCAAUUGCACCAUCAACAACAGCAAUAGCCUCAAUAGCAUCCUCAUUUCCAUUGCUCUUCUUCUUCUUCUUUUUCUUAUUUUCAAUUUCAUCACUCCCUAC
rnacentral:lncRNA from 1 species